UACAGAGGUCUCAAGCGUUUGUUCGGAUUCAUUGGGCGUAAAGGGUGCGUAGGGCGGCGCGGUAAGUCGGGUGUGAAAUCUCGGGGCUUUAACUCCGAAACUGCAUUCGAUACUGCCGUGCUUGGAGGACUGGAGAGGAGACUGGAAAUUUAUGGUGUAGCAGUGAAAUGCGUAGAGAUCAUGAGGAAGACCAGUGGCGAAGGCGGGUCUCUGGACAGUUCCUACACUGAGACACGAAGGCCGGGGAGCAA
rnacentral:rRNA from 1 species